UAUGUGCCCUCUUACAUGUUUUUUGAAUGUGAAGAACCUUUUCUAGAUAACCAAGUCUCCUCUGUCUCUGCACUCUUUCUGUCUCUCUCAUACCCACAGAUAUAAAACAGAGAUGCCCGAGUCUGCAGAUGUCCCUGCUCAGUGCCAAGUUCUAAAAGAGGAGGUGGAAAAAUGUGUCCAAGGGAAGGGUGCAGAGGCCUGUAAGGAGAUGAUGGCAGCUUUCGAGGCAUGUGUAAAAAGUGCUGUGAAAGCUUCAUGAGAAAAAAAACUUCAGGUUCAUACUGUAUUUCCAGUUCAAUCACAAAUUUUUGUAACAUUGUACAGAUCAUUAACACUAGCUAAUCUUUGGUACAUAGUAUAUUUGUAUGUUCGGUGUAAUUAUUUGAAUGUUUUUUUUUUUUAGGUUGUUUCAUAAUACAAAUUAAGGAUAGUGUUAUAUCACAUUCGUUCUAUCACAGGUCCGUCAGCAUCCCUGCAUUCCCUACUGCAUUUUGCAUUGGACUGAACCAUUAUGAACCAUUAUGAGGACCUGGCCUAGGGUGAUGGUGCUGCCAAAUUCUUGAAGUCACCCUGUUUGGAUCAGAGAUGCCUCAGUGAUGGCAUCGAUAUUAUUGUCAACCUCGUAAAAUUUCUAAAAUGUAGUCUCAAGAGCCCACAGGAUAUAGACCCAGUAUGUCAGAAAAGAGUAUUUUUUAAGUAAAAUGCAGUGCAUAUAAAUGAUUUCUGAAUAAAAUAUAGAUUUAUUAUU